rnacentral:rRNA from 1 species
GACGGGGGGUCCUAGCGUUGUUCGGAAGUUAUUGGGCGUUAAAUGCGGUGUGAGGUUGUUUGAAAAGUUGGAUGUGGAAAUCCCUGGGCUUAACCCAGGAACGUGCAUUCAAAACUGUCAGACUUGAGUAUGGGAGAGGAUCGUGGAAUUCCUAGUGUAGUGGUGAAAAUACGUAGAUAUUAGGAGGAACACCGGUGGCGAAGGCGGCGAUCUGGCCCAAUACUGACACUCAUACACGAAAGCGUGGGGAUCAAACAGG